UACUUUUUGUGAUUCAUAUGAUUUCAGCUACUCAGCAAACAGAGUGCACCAAAAAUCAUAUGGAAUAUAUGUAACCUGCAAUCACAAAUGGAAAGAGUUCUAUGGUUCCCAAUCAUAACUGGGUCCAGAUGGAUUAGAGAGUUUUCUUUAACAGUGGUAACAACAGAAGCAACCUUAACAUGCUAAUUCUUAUCUAGAUAUUGCCCUAAUGUGAUUCUCAAACAUGCUUUUCUAAAAUCAAUGCAAGUACAAAGACAUGCGUUCAUGACAUGAAAAUAAGUAGACAUGAUGAUGAAUACACAUGGCAAACAAGCAAAGAUAAGACAAAAGCACGACAGGCAGUUAUGCAAUUCAGAAGAUUCAGUACUCUCUACUUAAACCAAUUAACACAAGUGUAACAGGUAGAAAGUAUAAUUACAGAUAUUCAAUAAU
rnacentral:lncRNA from 1 species